CUAAUUAAAUUACCUAUCUAUGUAAUUUUAACUGUUAAGUAUUUGAUUCAGUUUAGAUUUAUAAAUCAUGUAGGUACAAUAGCUGCUGAAUAUGCUAGCAAGUACUAAUCCGAAAAAAAAAAAUUAUUAAAAUACGUGGUAGUUAUGAAAAUUACCAAAGAAAAUAUAUUUAUCAAAAUUCGACGAUUCUUAAGUAUCACUGUCGGGGCUAUGAAUAAAUAUAAUCAAAAGAGAAAAAAUACUACUUCAAUCGGACUGAGUCUCCUAAUAAAUGAGUCACCAUCGUAACUGCGAAACCAAAAAAGUGAACGUCGAAAAAGCGCCGUUACCGACGAAUCCACACACUUCCUCGCCACUGGACACAAAACUUCAAACUAAGUAUGUACUAAAUACAUAGGUAAAUAAUAUGAUUUUAUGAUCAACAGAGUUUAUAAAUAUAAAUGAUUACGGCGUGAAAACACGAACGCUUUUUCAAAUGACUUGAAUAGUAUCGAAAAACCUUCUCAAGAGAGAAUGAAAAACCCAUAUUUGUGGACAUUAAUUUACACGAUACACGCGAGUUUUCAUUUUAUCUUUAUUAGUCUAAACUGUAAAUGUCUUUUAAAUUGAACUGUAAGAAAAAAAUCAAAAACUCAAUAUAAUAAAAAUAGUUCUUAUAACACUUUCAAGAAAUUUGUAUUCACUCGAGUAUACUACUACAAUAAAAUUGUAAAAGAAAAAUAAGAUGAAGUAAAACCCGUAAAAAUUGAUCGAGUGUAUUCAAAAGUGGCACAUACAUGAUACUAUAUUAUGUAUGUAAGCAUUUUUCUUUCGAUUACGAAAACAUUCAAGACGUAUACAUUUCAUAACACAAAUCAAAGAACCUACCUAUAACAUGAUUUUAUCCAAUAUAGUGGAAAUCUGU